UUCAAGUCUGUCGGUAUUCAAGUUGAAGUCCCCAAAGUCGAAAUCUUCAACUCCAUCGGUCUUCAAGUUGAAGUCUUCAAAUUCUCUGAUCUUCAAGUUGAAAUAUUUAGGCCCUCCAAGUCUCAAAGUUGAAGUCUUCACGUCCCUCGGUCUACAAGUUGAAGUCUUCAAAUCCACCGAUCUUCAAGUUGAAAUAUUUAGCCCUCCAAGUCUCAAAGUUGAAGUCUUCAAGUUCGCCAAGUUGAUAUCUUCAAGUUCGUCGAUCUUCAAGUUUCAGUCUUCAAAUUUACCGAUCUUCAAGUUGAAAUAUUUAGGCCCUCCAAGUCUCAAAGUUGAAAUCUUCGAAUUCGCCAAGUUGAAGUCUUCAAAUUCGCCGAUCUGCAAGUUGAAAUAUUUAGGCCCUCCAAGUCUCCAAGUUUUAGUCUUCAAAUUCGCCAACCUUAAAGUUAAAUUGUUUAAGCUCUCUGAAAAUCGGGCCAUGAAAAUAAUCCCUCCGAUAUUUAGGCAGGGAUAAGUACCCAUCCACUCACAAUCCAAAAUUAUCUUCUUCAGGAUCAUCUUGUUAAACAAACAAGUCCUUCUUGUUUGACCUAAAAAAAAGAAGAAGAGAAACACAAGAAAGGAUAAAAAGUAAAAAACAC
rnacentral:lncRNA from 1 species